CGGGAGGAGUCAUUUGGUGGGUUUUGAGAGAAAUCCAAUCUCAAGAACUAUACAACACACCAUCCACUACAUUUCAGAAUGAACUUCAUACGAACCUGAAUUGUCCAAUUUCACGGACCAAUCGAUAUCGGAUUGACUCCAAAACUUGGGGAACAUCAUAAUAUUGUGGGAGGAGUCAUUUGGUGUGUUGUGAGUGAAAUCCAAUUUCUAGAACUAUACAAUACGCCAACCACUCCACUUCAUAACGAACAUCUGACGAAUCUGAAUUGUCGAUUUUAUGGACCAAUCGAUGUCGGGUUGAGUCCAAAACUUGGAGAAC
rnacentral:lncRNA from 1 species